UUACUUUAACCAUGAAAUCACAAUAACUGCUUACUUUUUGGCUGUAGGACACAAGUAAAAGGAGAAGAAUGCUGCUCAGCUGGGUCGGCGGUCACACUACUUAUUCAAGAAGCUCUUGGAUAUCAUCGGCAUGUAUAAAGCACGGAGUCGUUCCUUGAUGGACGUGAUGACCUGGCACCAAAACCGCUUAAUGUGUAUGAAGCUGUGUCUGCAUCGAGGGAAGAACCCAGCACUGAAAUGACACAAAUGAAAGAGGACGUCUUCUCUGCUGGGUCUGCGACACUACUUAUCCUAGGAAUCCUCAAACAUCAGGAUGUAGGAAACUUAUGGUGAGAUGCCAAGAGCCGCC